GAAGAAUAUUGGGCAAUGGGGGAAACCCUGACCCAGCAACGCCGCGUGAAGGAAGAAGGUUUUCGGAUUGUAAACUUCUGUCCCAUGAGACGAAACAAAUGACGGUACCAUGGGAGGAAGCCCCGGCUAACUACGUGCCAGCAGCCGCGGUAAUACGUAGGGGGCAAGCGUUGUCCGGAAUUAUUGGGCGUAAAGGGUGUGUAGGCGGCCUUUCAAGUUGGAUGUGAAAUCCCCGUGCUUAACAUGGGAAUUGCAUUCAAAACUGGAGGGCUUGAGUGUGGAAGAGGUAAGUGGAAUUCCCAGUGUAGCGGUGAAAUGCGUAGAUAUUGGGAGGAACACCAGUGGCGAAGGCGACUUACUGGGCCACAACUGACGCUGAGGCACGAAAGCGUGGGGAGCAAAC
rnacentral:rRNA from 1 species